GGUUAAGCGACUAAGCGUACACGGUGGAUGCCCUGGCAGUCAGAGGCGAUGAAGGACGUGCUAAUCUGCGAUAAGCGUCGGUAAGGUGAUAUGAACCGUUAUAACCGGCGAUUUCCGAAUGGGGAAACCCAGUGUGAUUCGUCACACUAUCAUUAACUGAAUCCAUAGGUUAAUGAGGCGAACCGGGGGAACUGAAACAUCUAAGUACCCCGAGGAAAAGAAAUCAACCGAGAUUCCCCCAGUAGCGGCGAGCGAACGGGGAGCAGCCCAGAGCCUGAAUCAGUGUGUGUGUUAGUGGAAGCGUCUGGAAAGGCGCGCGAUACAGGGUGACAGCCCCGUACACAAAAAUGCACAUGCUGUGAGCUCGAUGAGUAGGGCGGGACACGUGGUAUCCUGUCUGAAUAUGGGGGGACCAUCCUCCAAGGCUAAAUACUCCUGACUGACCGAUAGUGAACCAGUACCGUGAGGGAAAGGCGAAAAGAACCCCGGCGAGGGGAGUGAAAAAGAACCUGAAACCGUGUACGUACAAGCAGUGGGAGCACGCUUAGGCGUGUGACUGCGUACCUUUUGUAUAAUGGGUCAGCGACUUAUAUUCUGUAGCAAGGUUAACCGAAUAGGGGAGCCGAAGGGAAACCGAGUCUUAACUGGGCGUUAAGUUGCAGGGUAUAGACCCGAAACCCGGUGAUCUAGCCAUGGGCAGGUUGAAGGUUGGGUAACACUAACUGGAGGACCGAACCGACUAAUGUUGAAAAAUUAGCGGAUGACUUGUGGCUGGGGGUGAAAGGCCAAUCAAACCGGGAGAUAGCUGGUUCUCCCCGAAAGCUAUUUAGGUAGCGCCUCGUGAAUUCAUCUCCGGGGGUAGAGCACUGUUUCGGCAAGGGGGUCAUCCCGACUUACCAACCCGAUGCAAACUGCGAAUACCGGAGAAUGUUAUCACGGGAGACACACGGCGGGUGCUAACGUCCGUCGUGAAGAGGGAAACAACCCAGACCGCCAGCUAAGGUCCCAAAGUCAUGGUUAAGUGGGAAACGAUGUGGGAAGGCCCAGACAGCCAGGAUGUUGGCUUAGAAGCAGCCAUCAUUUAAAGAAAGCGUAAUAGCUCACUGGUCGAGUCGGCCUGCGCGGAAGAUGUAACGGGGCUAAACCAUGCACCGAAGCUGCGGCAGCGACGCUGAUGCGUUGUUGGGUAGGGGAGCGUUCUGUAAGCCUGUGAAGGUGUGCUGUGAGGCAUGCUGGAGGUAUCAGAAGUGCGAAUGCUGACAUAAGUAACGAUAAAGCGGGUGAAAAGCCCGCUCGCCGGAAGACCAAGGGUUCCUGUCCAACGUUAAUCGGGGCAGGGUGAGUCGACCCCUAAGGCGAGGCCGAAAGGCGUAGUCGAUGGGAAACAGGUUAAUAUUCCUGUACUUGGUGUUACUGCGAAGGGGGACGGAGAAGGCUAUGUUGGCCGGGCGACGGUUGUCCCGGUUUAAGCGUGUAGGCUGGUUUUCCAGGCAAAUCCGGAAAAUCAAGGCUGAGGCGUGAUGACGAGGCACUACGGUGCUGAAGCAACAAAUGCCCUGCUUCCAGGAAAGCCUCUAAGCAUCAGGUAACAUCAAAUCGUACCCCAAACCGACACAGGUGGUCAGGUAGAGAAUACCAAGGCGCUUGAGAGAACUCGGGUGAAGGAACUAGGCAAAAUGGUGCCGUAACUUCGGGAGAAGGCACGCUGAUAUGUAGGUGAAGCGACUUGCUCGUGGAGCUGAAAUCAGUCGAAGAUACCAGCUGGCUGCAACUGUUUAUUAAAAACACAGCACUGUGCAAACACGAAAGUGGACGUAUACGGUGUGACGCCUGCCCGGUGCCGGAAGGUUAAUUGAUGGGGUUAGCGCAAGCGAAGCUCUUGAUCGAAGCCCCGGUAAACGGCGGCCGUAACUAUAACGGUCCUAAGGUAGCGAAAUUCCUUGUCGGGUAAGUUCCGACCUGCACGAAUGGCGUAAUGAUGGCCAGGCUGUCUCCACCCGAGACUCAGUGAAAUUGAACUCGCUGUGAAGAUGCAGUGUACCCGCGGCAAGACGGAAAGACCCCGUGAACCUUUACUAUAGCUUGACACUGAACAUUGAGCCUUGAUGUGUAGGAUAGGUGGGAGGCUUUGAAGUGUGGACGCCAGUCUGCAUGGAGCCGACCUUGAAAUACCACCCUUUAAUGUUUGAUGUUCUAACGUGGACCCGUAAUCCGGGUUGCGGACAGUGUCUGGUGGGUAGUUUGACUGGGGCGGUCUCCUCCUAAAGAGUAACGGAGGAGCACGAAGGUUGGCUAAUCCUGGUCGGACAUCAGGAGGUUAGUGCAAUGGCAUAAGCCAGCUUGACUGCGAGCGUGACGGCGCGAGCAGGUGCGAAAGCAGGUCAUAGUGAUCCGGUGGUUCUGAAUGGAAGGGCCAUCGCUCAACGGAUAAAAGGUACUCCGGGGAUAACAGGCUGAUACCGCCCAAGAGUUCAUAUCGACGGCGGUGUUUGGCACCUCGAUGUCGGCUCAUCACAUCCUGGGGCUGAAGUAGGUCCCAAGGGUAUGGCUGUUCGCCAUUUAAAGUGGUACGCGAGCUGGGUUUAGAACGUCGUGAGACAGUUCGGUCCCUAUCUGCCGUGGGCGCUGGAGAACUGAGGGGGGCUGCUCCUAGUACGAGAGGACCGGAGUGGACGCAUCACUGGUGUUCGGGUUGUCAUGCCAAUGGCACUGCCCGGUAGCUAAAUGCGGAAGAGAUAAGUGCUGAAAGCAUCUAAGCACGAAACUUGCCCCGAGAUGAGUUCUCCCUGACUCCUUGAGAGUCCUGAAGGAACGUUGAAGACGACGACGUUGAUAGGCCGGGUGUGUAAGCGCAGCGAUGCGUUGAGCUAACCGGUACUAAUGAACCGUGAGGCUUAACCUUAC
rnacentral:rRNA from 1 species